GCAGCCCUGCGCUCAGGGUUAUUUACGUCUGCUCACAUAUGAAGAAGAUGGAAGUGAGUCAUUACUGCUACAGCUGUCUUGUGUAUUCGCCUUUGUUUGUUGUUGCCGUGAGUGUUCGCUCUGGUGUUAUCCGCGGUUUAUUACUAAAUACGUUAUUAGUUCAUAGUGUUAGUGAAGUUUGUGUGUGUGUAUAACAGUAAUCUUCAUGCAUUUUAUUACGCAUAAAUAUUACUGAAUUGUGUGAAAUAGUGUUCAUAAGGUUAUAUUUUGUUAGCACCAUGUACUAAAAUAACGAUUCUGACAUUUAGAGAUUGUUGUACGAGAUGGACCUUAGUUCGCCAUGCUAUAUAAUGAUAUACCGAAGGUGUUAUACAUUUUUAUAAAGCCAGUACCAGUACAAUGGGGGAGUUGUAAUUGACAUUGGAUGAUUCAGGGGAGAGGCUGAGGCGGAAGAAUAGGUAGCAGAGGAACAGUAGAUGGGGAACGAGGCGAAGAAAAGACUACCUACUAGGUAGUGUAGAAGAGAAAUAUGGCCUGAUGAUGGGUGGAUGGCGAUGAGGGCAUGGAGGAUGAGAGAAAUGGGGCUGAUUAUGUUGAUUAGGUUAAUAUUUGUUUUGAACAUUAGUAUUCUUAUAUUUGAAUUUUGUAUCAUUAAGAUAAUUUUAUGUUUUUUAAUGAAGAUGUUUUUUUAGUUUUAAUACCUACUUUGUUGUACUACUGCCUAGUUUUAUAAAUAAACUGUUUAUUGUG